rnacentral:rRNA from 1 species
GAUGAACGCUGACAGAAUGCUUAACACAUGCAAGUCGAUGGGGAAGUGGUGAUUGCAUUAUGGCAACCAUGGCGGACGGGUGAGUAACGCGUAAGGGCCUUACCUGCAGGAUUGGGAUAACAGGGGGAAACUCCUGACAUGACCGGAUAAUGCCAUGGAGCUGCAUGGCUAAAUGAUGAAAGUGGACGCCUGCCGAGAGCCUUGCGUCCUAUUAGCUAGUUGGUGAGGUAAUGGCUCACCAAGCAGAAGAUAGGUAGCCGGCCUGAGAGGAUAGACGGCCACGAGGGGACUGGGAGACGGCCCUGACUCCUACUGGAGACAGCAGUGAAGAAUAUUGGACAAAGGGCGCAACGCUGAACCAGGAAUUCUGUGUGCACAGAGAAGGUGUUCGGAUUGAAAAGUACUAGCAGCAGGGAAGAAGGAAGUGACGGUACCUGCAGAAGAAGCAACGGCUAAAUACGUG